rnacentral:rRNA from 1 species
UACAGAGGGGGCAAGCGUUGUUCGGAAUUACUGGGCGUAAAGGGCGCGUAGGCGGCCUUCUAAGUCGAACGUGAAAUCCCUGGGCUCAAACCCAGGAACUGCGUCCGAUACUGGAAGGCUUGAAUCCGGGAGAGGGAUGCGGAAUUCCAAGGUGUAGCGGUGAAAUGCGUAGAUAUCUGGAGGAACACCGGUGGCGAAGGCGGCAUCCUGGACCGGUAUUGACGCUGAGGCGCGAAAGCCAGGGGAGCAAGCGGG